CCCCGUCCCGCCCCGUCGCCCGCCAAUCCCCACUCAAGAGGGCACGCCUGCGCAUUAGCUGCCCGGCUCCCCAAUCUUCCUAUCUCAAAGGUCCUGGAUCCACCUUUCUGCCAUAACAAAAGGACAUUGGCGUCCAAUCAGGAUUGAGAUCCUUAUGGGCGGGCCCGGGAAGAGCAACAGCCAAUGACAGCGCGGAAGCUAAUUUAAGCGUGUGAAAGCCAGUCCAAGCCAAGCAGCUCUUCAGUCUCAGCAGGACUCAGAAAAUUGGGGUCAGAAAUUCAGUGCGGAAAAUUCUGACAGCUGUCAGGAAGGAGGUUAUUGCAUUCAUUGGAGAACGAGUGCUGUCUUGAAUUUGAUGGAGAGAGUCACUUGGAAGUUGGAGGAGAUGAGCAUUCCAAGUGGAGUGACCUGGCCUGACACAUCUGGAAUAUGUGCCUGAGACUGCCACCUUCAGCAUUACUUGGUGCUUUGGAAGCCAAGAAAGUUACCAUACCUGCCAGUGUGGGUUUUAGGCUCUGGUUACAGGUGUCUCUGUUUUGAAGUACUUUGGAUCCUAAAGGGUCUUCUUUAACUUCUCAGCUUAACCAAAGGGGUAGAAAAGUUAUGGCUGAAUUGGGGAAAGCUAAGUUAGGCAUUGGUUUCUGAGGACUCAUACUCUAACUUUUCUGCUGCCUGAAUAACUUCUCCUUCCUUUCUGAAGAGCACCCAGCAGCUGGCUCUGCUUGACUGUCCUCUUGGUAGCUGUCUCCAUCAAUCCUGUAAGUGGGGUCGUCCUCCCAUCAUGGUGGCCAUGGAGAUGCGUCACUCAGAUCUCCACUUAAGAGAACCUGCUGUGGGGAGAAUAGCUGAUUGACAGUCUCUAGCUCCUGCACCUUUGGCUCCACUAUCGAUUUCUGAACUGCUCCCAGCCAAUGAGAGAGAAUGGUGGGGUUACUAGACCAGUCCCGUCCUGCAUAACUUGGAAUUCUCUAAUGAGCAACUUUGGCUCAGGGCCUUCCCAUCGACCUGGCCACAACUUACCUAGAACUGCACAGUGGUCCAUAGUUCUUCCUACUCACUCCUUCCUUCCCUCUCUUCUUUCAUAGGUGCCAGACCUGCGUUGCAGUCUCAAGACUCUCCCUGCCUAUUCCUGCUCCUCUUUUAUUCUUUGAGGGGUUUACUCCAAUAAAUAUCUUGCACAUCUAAUCCUGUGCGGGUAUCUGCUGCUCAAAAGACAUGAGAGACACCAAGAGAUGUCUGAGAAAGCUGGCAGUAAGAUGGAAUUUUGAAACUGGGUUACUCAGGACCUA